CCUACGGGCGGCAGCAGUGGGGGAUAUUGCACAAUGGGGGGAACCCUGAUGCAGCGACGCCGCGUGGGUGAAGGAGCGUUUCGGCGCGUAAAGCCCUAUCGGCAGGGAAGAAGAUGACGGUACCUGACCAAGAAGCCGCGGCCAAAUACGUGCCAGCAGCCGCGGCAAUACGUAGGGGGCAAGCGUGAUCCGGAUUUACUGGGUGUAAAGGGUGCGUAGGCGGGUUGGGAAGUCAGUAGUGAAAUCCAUGGGCUUAACCCGUGAACUGCUAUUGAAACUGUCAGGCUUGAGUGAAGUAGUGGGAGGCGGAAUUCCCGGUGUAGCGGUGAAAUGCGUAGAGAUCGGGAGGAACACCCGUGGCGAAGGCGGCCUCCUGGACUUUAACUGACGCUGAGGCACGAAAGCGUGGGUAGCAAACAGGAUUAGAUACCCUAGUAGUC
rnacentral:rRNA from 1 species